rnacentral:rRNA from 1 species
AUGAACGCUGGCGGCGUGCCUAAUACAUGCAAGUCGAGCGAACGGACGAGAAGCUUGCUUCUCUGAUGUUAGCGGCGGACGGGUGAGUAACACGUGGAUAACCUACCUAUAAGACUGGGAUAACUUCGGGAAACCGGAGCUAAUACCGGAUAAUAUUUUGAACCGCAUGGUUCAAAAGUGAAAGACGGUCUUGCUGUCACUUAUAGAUGGAUCCGCGCUGCAUUAGCUAGUUGGUAAGGUAACGGCUUACCAAGGCAACGAUGCAUAGCCGACCUGAGAAGGUGAUCGGCCACACUGGAACUGAGACACGGUCCAGACUCCUACGGGAGGCAGCAGUAGGGAAUCUUCCGCAAUGGGCGAAAGCCUGACGGAGCAACGCCGCGUGAGUGAUGAAGGUCUUCGGAUCGUAAAACUCUGUUAUUAGGGAAGAACAUAUGUGUAAGUAACUGUGCACAUCUUGACGGUACCUAAUCAGAAAGCCACGGCUAACUACGUG